UACAUGGGGUGCAAACGUUGCUCGGAAUUAUUGGGCGUAAAGCGCACGUAGGCGGUUCGUUAAGUCGGAUGUGAAAGCCCUCGGCUCAACUGAGGAAGUGCACCCGAAACUGGCGAGCUUGAGUACGAAAGAGGAUCGCGGAAUUCCCGGUGUAGAGGUGAAAUUCGUAGAUAUCGGGAGGAACACUGGUGGCGAAGGCGGCGAUCUGGGUCGAUACUGACGCUGAGGUGCGAAAGCGUGGGGAGCAAACAGG
rnacentral:rRNA from 1 species